rnacentral:rRNA from 1 species
CCUACCCUUGACAUGCCAGGAACUUGCCAGAGAUGGCUUGGUGCUCGAAAGAGAACCUGGACACAGGUGCUGCAUGGCCGUCGUCAGCUCGUGUCGUGAGAUGUUGGGUUAAGUCCCGCAACGAGCGCAACCCUUGUCAUUAGUUGCUACGAAAGGGCACUCUAAUGAGACUGCCGGUGACAAACCGGAGGAAGGUGGGGAUGACGUCAGGUCCUCAUGGCCCUUAUGGGUAGGGCUACACACGUCAUACAAUGGCCGGUACAGAGGGCUGCCAACCCGCGAGGGGGAGCCAAUCCCAGAAAACCGGUCGUAGUCCGGAUCGCAGUCUGCAACUCGACUGCGUGAAGUCGGAAUCGCUAGUAAUCGCGGAUCAGCUUGCCGCGGUGAAUAUGUUCCCGGGUCUUGUACACACCGCCCGUCACACCAUGGGAGCGGGUUCUGCCAGAAGUAGUUAGCCUAACCGCAAGGAGGGCGAUUACCACGGCAGGGUUCGUGACUGGGGUGAAGU